rnacentral:rRNA from 1 species
UCCUACGGGAGGCAGCAGUGGGGAAUAUUGCACAAUGGGGGGAACCCUGAUGCAGCCAUGCCGCGUGAAUGAAGAAGGCCUUCGGGUUGUAAAGUUCUUUCGGUGACGAGGAAGGCGAUUGUUUUAAUAGAACAGUCGAUUGACGUUAAUCACAGAAGAAGCACCGGCUAACUCCGUGCCAGCAGCCGCGGUAAUACGGGGGGUGCGAGCGUUAAUCGGAAUAACUGGGCGUAAAGGGCACGCAGGCGGUUGUUUAAGUGAGGUGUGAAAGCCCCGGGCUUAACCUGGGAAUUGCAUUUCAGACUGGACAACUAGAGUACUUUAGGGAGGGGUAGAAUUCCACGUGUAGCGGUGAAAUGCGUAGAGAUGUGGAGGAAUACCGAAGGCGAAGGCAGCCCCUUGGGAAUGUACUGACGCUCAUGUGCGAAAGCGUGGGGAGCAAACAGGAUUAGAUACCCUGGUAGUCCACGCCGUAAACGCUGUCGAUUUGGGGAUUGGGCUUUAAGCUUGGUGCCCGUAGCUAACGUGAUAAAUCGACCGCCUGGGGAGUACGGCCGCAAGGUUAAAACUCAAAUGAAUUGACGGGGGCCCGCACAAGCGGUGGAGCAUGUGGUUUAAUUCGAUGC